GAAAAGAAACUAACAAGGAUUCCCCUAGUAACUGCGAGUGAAGUGGGAAGAGCUCAAAUUUUGAAUCUGGCAGUCUUUGGCCGCCCGAGUUGUAAUCUAGAGAAGUGUUUUCCGUGCUGGACCGUGUACAAGUCUCCUGGAAGGGAGCAUCAUAGAGGGUGAGAAUCCCGUCUUUGACACGGACUACCAGUGCUAUGUGAUGCGCUCUCAACGAGUCGAGUUGUUUGGGAAUGCAGCUCAAAAUGGGUGGUAAAUUCCAUCUAAAGCUAAAUAUAGGCGAGAGACCGAUAGCGAACAAGUACCGUGAGGGAAAGAUGAAAAGAACUUUGGAAAGAGAGUUAAACAGUACGUGAAAUUGCUGAAAGGGAAACGCUUGAUGUCAGUCAUGUCGGCCAGGGAUCAACCUUGCUUUUCUUGCUGGGUGCACUUUCUGGUCGACAGGUCAGCAUCAGUUUCUGUCGUCGUACAAUGACAAAGGGAAUGUGGCACUCUUUGGAGUGUGUUAUAGCCUUUCGUCGUAUGCGGUGGUUGGAACUGAGGAGAACUCGGCACGACCUUCAGUCUGUGUCUAGGAUGCUGGCAUAAUGGCCUUAAGCGACC
rnacentral:rRNA from 1 species